UAUUAAAAAAAUUCAUUCAUUUGUACUAUAAAAAACUAGUGCAAUUGACAGAAUAACCAGAAAGUGACACAUACCAUGUAUACCUCAUGCUAAUAUAUAGAGACUAAUUUUUAACUGUGGAAAUGGAUGAAAUUUUUAACA
rnacentral:pre_miRNA from 1 species